rnacentral:lncRNA from 1 species
CCCACCUUCUUCUCAGGGUUUAGAAAUGACUGUAUCCUAGAGGAUCCAUAGGAAACCUGAGUGUGCUCUGUGUAUUUGGCUGUCUUUAUAAAGGUAGAUAUUACAUCUCAUUGUGCGGAAACAAUUUACAAGUGGCUGAUUGAUUGCCUAGCAUAUGAGUCUAUGGGUUUAAUCUUUAGAAUUACAAAAGAUAUUAAUAUUUAUUGUCAUUUACAAACAACUUUGUCAUUUUCAAAAUCCCUUUCCAUGUGUAUUCUUUCAUCCUCACCAUGGCCUCCUUAGGGACUAGUCUUGUACUCAUGUCAUAGGUGUAGUAACUGAGGCACAGAGAGUCGAAGUUCAGCACUAUACAAUGCACAGCAUUAUUGCCUGAAUCAAUUCACACCUCUACUUCAUUGUCAUUUUGCUAUGUGAUAACAUAGAAAUCUACUAGCCAUGGACCCUAGAAGGCUGGAAUGAAAAUUCUCAUUUGUAGAUGCUUCUAAUAGAGCCCUUGUGUGCUCUUGAGUGUACUUCCCCCACUGUGUGGGGGGAGGGGGAGUAUGUGACUCACAGCACAAUACAGGACCACAUAGCUACUAAGGACUUAGUUAAAAGAACUUUCGAGGAUUUCUACCUAAAGACAGGAUUAAUGAUGAGAAGGCAAAGCUGCUGAUAAGUCUUCAUUAAAACAAGUGAAUUCCUGAAUUGUGGGGGGAGCAGGGAGACAUUUCCUAGCAGUUGCAGCACAGGUGUAUACAGUCAUACAUCACACAGUUCCAAAGCACUAAGCACCCAGUGACUACUUUUCUGAUACCCCAUCUCCUGCCAAAAAUAAUGGUAAGAAGAUAAAAAAAUCAAACGUUUGUUAAACAGAUGUUUACCCAAUAAAUAAAUAAGGAGUGUUUGUAUGCGUCUGAGAGCCAAAUGAAUAGAGAUUCCAUGAUACAGUUCUUAAAAGAUAACACUAAAACUAAACCACAAAAUUAUCAAAUACCUGUUAAUAGCUCCUAAAUCAUGAUGUUUAAAAUGAAGAAAACAGUCCUAAAAUGUGUUUUAAGUGACAUCAUUUAAUGAUCAGUGCUCUGCUUGUAGAAAUAAUUUUGCUGUAAAAAUCAACAAUGAGGUCAACGCCUUUUGAAAGUAGAGUAGGAAACCAAUAUAAAACAUACUGCAGGGUUUUCAUUCCUCUGAAGCUAUCGCCACCCAAUGCUACAGGGCCUCUGCAAAGCUGGAGCAAUUUUUGUCUAAGAAUAGAGAAAAUAUUGUUUUGAAAAUAUACUACAUACAUGAACCUUAAUGAGAAAUGAAUGUGAGUGUUACCUUCAUUAGAUCCCCUUAUUAAGCCCUGCACAUUUCUGAUAUGUGGAUGUUGUAAUCAGUGUCAACCAUGACUUUGACCUCCCUUAUCACCACCAUCCCCUACAUUGCCUCUAAGGACUCUCUUAUUUACAAUCUCCCCAAUUGCAGAGGAAGCAAAAUGAUAAUAAAAGCGUCUUAUUUAUAUG